AUACGUAGGUGGCAAGCGUUGUCCGGAAUUACUGGGCGUAAAGAAUGCGUAGGUGGAUAUGCAAGUCAGAUGUGAAAUACCCGGGCUCAACUUGGGUGCUGCAUUUGAAACUAUAUAUCUAGAGUGCAGGAGAGGAAAGCGGAAUUCCUAGUGUAGCGGUGAAAUGCGUAGAGAUUAGGAAGAACACCAGUGGCGAAGGCGGCUUUCUGGACUGUAACUGACACUGAGGCAUGAAAGCGUGGGGAGCAAACAGGAUUAGAUACCCUGGUAGUCCACGCCGUAAACGAUGGGUACUAGGUGUAGGAGGUAUCGACUCCUUCUGUGCCGCAGUUAACACAAUAAGUACCCCGCCUGGGGAGUACGGUCGCAAGAUUAAA
rnacentral:rRNA from 1 species